UACGUAGGGAGCAAGCGUUGUCCGGAAUCAUUGGGCGUAAAGGGCGCGUAGGCGGCCUGUUAAGUCAAGUGUGAAAAUCAACGGCUCAACCGUUGAACUGCGCUUGAAACUGGCGGGCUAGAGAUCAGGAGAGGAAAGUGGAAUUCCUAGUGUAGCGGUGAAAUGCGUAGAUAUUAGGAAGAACAUCUAUGGCGAAGGCAGCUUUCUGGACUGACACUGACGCUGAGGCGCGAAAGCGUGGGGAGCAAACAGG
rnacentral:rRNA from 1 species